rnacentral:rRNA from 1 species
GUCAGAGGCGAUGAAGGACGUGCUAAUCUGCGAUAAGCGUCGGUAAGGUGAUAUGAACCGUUAUAACCGGCGAUUUCCGAAUGGGGAAACCCAGUGUGUUUCGACACACUAUCAUUAACUGAAUCCAUAGGUUAAUGAGGCGAACCGGGGGAACUGAAACAUCUAAGUACCCCGAGGAAAAGAAAUCAACCGAGAUUCCCCCAGUAGCGGCGAGCGAACGGGGAGGAGCCCAGAGCCUGAAUCAGUGUGUGUGUUAGUGGAAGCGUCUGGAAAGGCGCGCGAUACAGGGUGACAGCCCCGUACACAAAAAUGCACAUACUGUGAGCUCGAUGAGUAGGGCGGGACACGUGGUAUCCUGUCUGAAUAUGGGGGGACCAUCCUCCAAGGCUAAAUACUCCUGACUGACCGAUAGUGAACCAGUACCGUGAGGGAAAGGCGAAAAGAACCCCGGCGAGGGGAGUGAAAAAGAACCUGAAACCGUGUACG